rnacentral:rRNA from 1 species
AGUGAACGCUGGCGGUAGGCCUAACACAUGCAAGUCGAACGGAAGCGCAGUAAGAGCUUGCUCUUACGGGGGGCGAGUGGCGGACGGGUGAGGAAUACAUCGGACUCUACUUUUUCGUGGGGGAUCACGUAGGGGAACUUACGCUAAUACAGCAUCCGCCCUACGGGUGAAAGCAGGGGAACUUCGGACCUUGCGCGGAUGAAUGCGCCGCUGUCGGAUUAGCUGGUUGGCGGGGUGAUGACCUACCAAGGCGAGGAUCCGUAGCUGGACUGAGAGACUGGUCGGCCACACGGGAACGGAGACACGGUCCAUACUCCUGCGGGAGGCAGCAGUGGGGUAUAUUGGACAAUGGGCGCAAGCCUGGUCCAGCCAGACCGCGUGUGUGAAGAAGGCCUUCGGGUUGUAAAGCCCGUUUGUGGGUUAAGAAAAGCAGCAGGUUAUUACCCCGCUGUUCUGACGGUACCCAAAGAAUAAGCACCGGCUAACUUCGUG